rnacentral:misc_RNA from 1 species
GAUGAAGAACGUAGCGAAAUGCGAUAAGUAGUGUGAAUUGCAGAAUUCAGUGAAUCAUCGAAUCUUUGAACGCACAUUGCGCCCCUUGGUAUUCCAUGGGGCAUGCCUGUUCGAGCGUCAUUUGUACCUUCAAGCUCUGCUUGGUGUUGGGUGUUUGUCUCGCCUCUGCGUGUAGACUCGCCUCAAAAUAAUUGGCAGCCGGCGUAUUGAUUUCGGAGCGCAGUACAUCUCGCGCUUUGCACUCAUAACGACGACGUCCAAAAGUACAUUUUUACACUCUUGACCUCGGAUCAGGUAGGGAUACCCGCUGAACUUAAGCAUAUCAAUAAGUGGAGGA